CCUACGGGAGGCUGCAGUCGAGAAUCAUUCACAAUGGGGGAAACCCUGAUGGUGCGACGCCGCGUGGGGGAAUGAAGGUCUUCGGAUUGUAAACCCCUGUCAUGUGGGAGCAAAUUAAAAAGAUAGUACCACAAGAGGAAGAGACGGCUAACUCUGUGCCAGCAGCCGCGGUAAUACAGAGGUCUCAAGCGUUGUUCGGAAUCACUGGGCGUAAGGCGUGCGUAGGCUGUUUCGUAAGUCGUGUGUGAAAGGCGCGGGCUCAACCCGCGGACGGCACAUGAUACUGCGAGACUAGAGUAAUGGAGGGGGAACCGGAAUUCUCGGUGUAGGAGUGAAAUGCGUAGAUAUCGAGGGGAACACUCGUGGCGAAGGCGGGUUCCUGGACAUUAACUGACGCUGAGGCACGAAGGCCAGGGGAGCGAAAGGGAUUAGAUACCCUAGUAGUC
rnacentral:rRNA from 1 species